rnacentral:sRNA from 1 species
GGUAAUCAGCUGGGGUUUCCUUAGGGAGGUUGGAAGGCUUGUUCUUUCUCUCUUUGCAGUAAAUCUUGCAGAUUCUAACUCAAAUAGCUCAAAGGACACCUUCUCCGGGAAACCUUCCCUGACUUCCGACGCUGUUUCCUGUUUAACUUCAGAAACUGGGGGUGUCUAAUGUCUGCAACAUAACAGGACUAUUGUAGGAAAUUCUGAGACUCUAUAAGCACUUUUAAAUGUGAAAAUUAAGAAGGCAUCCCAGAAAUGAAUGGGUCCAGUGCUCUGAUUUAAGAGUGUGUGACCUGUCGUCAUUCAUCCAGCAGACCCAAGCAGGCUUAGAGAAAGUAAGACAGACCCAUGAUGUACAUUAGAACACAGCAACUAUUUGAGUGAAAUAAGUAUUUUUAUUUAUUUCAAGAGGAAAGCAAAGUCGAAGGGUGUUCAGGGCUACAGUUUUGCUUGACCAGAUGUUGCCAAGUUUCAAAGUCAAAUCGGUUCAUCUCCUGGCUAUCAGCUAAAGGGUGUUGUAUUUGUAAGCAUUGAGAACUUCUAUCUACUGCUAUUGUAUUUUGCAUAUUUGUAUUUUCUGAGUUCUAUUUGAGAGAGACGGAAUUACGCAUUUCCAUAUGGAUCAUCCUCUUCCCUAUCUAUGUUGCUUUAUUGCCUUUUGGAAGAAAAAAAGUGAGAGUUGCAGUCUGUAUUUAGGCCAUUUCUAUGUUCUUUAUUGGGUUACGUUUGAAUGCCCAAUUUGAUCUCAAUGGCACGUCCUUUGUAACAUAAAAUAAAACAUGGUGCUCAGGAAAAGUAACGACACACACAUCCAGGCCCUUUCAUAGCAGUUGGUAAAGCUUAAGCCUUGCCUCUCUGUGUGGUAGUUUCCCUUCCCUUUCUUUUCGUUCCCUGUGACAAGCAGCCAUUGUCCCCUUGGUGAGAUCUGCAAUAUUACUUUGACCCCAGCCCAUCAAUCUGCCUCAAUUGGAUAAUGAUCUGUAAUCACGUUCUUUCAGGGGAGUCUAUAAAUUUGCCAAGGCCCCAUUCUCUUCUGAAGGACUCCUUAUGUUCACUCCCAUUUGUGCAAAUGUGCUCUCUUUUACAGGGCUAAAUAGCCAUGCACAUGGUCCAUUCUGUGAGGAGGCACCGGGCGGUUCUCUGUUGAUUUUCCACGCUCUAGUCUCUUAAAGGAGACUAAGGCUGACAUGCAGGGACACAGUGGGGGGGUGGCCCGAGCCAGGCCACAUCACAGGCAGCCGCUUUUCUCAUUAAGACUGACCCAUCAUUAGGUCACUUUGUGCCAUCCUUGUAAUCAAUGAGCUUAAUGUUUAGUGCAAAAAAAAAAAAA